GAUGAACGCUAGCUACAGGCUUAACACAUGCAAGUCGAGGGGUAGCAGGGUAGCAAUACCGCUGACGACCGGCGCACGGGUGAGUAACACGUAUCCAACCUUCCCAUAACUCGGGGAUAGCCUUUCGAAAGAAAGAUUAAUACCGGAUGGUACUUUUUCAAGGCAUCUUGAGAAAGUUAAAGAUUUAUUGGUUAUGGAUGGGGAUGCGUUCCAUUAGAUAGUUGGUGAGGUAACGGCUCACCAAGUCUUCAAUGGAUAGGGGUUCUGAGAGGAAGGUCCCCCACAUUGGUACUGAGAAACGGACCAAACUCCUACGGGAGGCAGCAGUGAGGAAUAUUGGUCAAUGGGCGAGAGCCUGAACCAGCCAAGUAGCGUGAAGGAUGAAGGUCCUACGGAUUGUAAACUUCUUUUAUAGUAGAAUAAAGUGAUCCACGUGUGGAUUUUUGUAUGUAUACUAUGAAUAAGGAUCGGCUAACUCCGUGCCAGCCGCCGCCGUAA
rnacentral:rRNA from 1 species